GCAAGAAACCAAGGCCUUCUGCAAACAGACAUGUGCGUGAGCCAUCUGACAGGGCUCCCCCAGCCCCAGUCGGGCCUUCAGGUGAGACUGCAGCAUCUGCCAACGUCAUAACUACAACCUUAUGAGAGGCUCUGAGCCAGAGCCACCCAGAAACCAAACUAGCUUUAAGUAGGCACAGCCUUCCAAGUCCUGGCUGCUGGUGUCCCGGAGAGAUUUCAGGGAGAAGCAGUCUUGGCUGAGCGUUAGAGCCAGAGGCCGGCCGGGGAAGGGAACAAUGUCUGCGUUUUGAGAACAGCUGGAGCUUCAGAGGGAGAAAAGCAGCUUGGCGAAUGAGGAAAGAAUGUGCUUGUCCCUUCAAGAGGCAAGAAACUUCGAUUUCCCUCCUGCCUCUGCCAACAAGUGUUUAUUGGAAAGGACAGAGUGGUGGUGAUGGCAGGUGGCGCAGUGGGUAAGAAUCCGCCUGCCAAUGCAGGGGACACGGGUUCGAGCCCUGCCCCAGGAAGAUACCACAUGCCGUGGAGCAACUAAGCCGGUGUGCCACAACUGUUGAGCCUGUGCUCUAGAGCCCAUGAGCCACAACUAUUGAGCCCAUGUGCCACAACUACUGAAGCCCACGCGUCUAGAGCCCGUGCUCUGCAACAAGAAAGGCCACCGCAAUGAGAAGCCUAUGCACCACAACAGAGAGUAGCCCUCCCUCGCUGCAACUAGAGAAAGCCCAUGUGCAGCAACGAAGACCCAACACAGCCAAUUAAAUAAAUAAAUAAAUAAAUUUAUAAAAAAAAUUUAUUGAUCAGAAGUAACCUGUAUACGUUAUUUAGGACCCCUUUUUUGCUAGGGUGCUGUGAUUCUAGGUAAUGAGACUUUAUUACAAGGAUUCAAGGGACUACAGUAACUAUAUAGUUACUCUGCACCUCCAAAUUUCCAAGACUGGAAUUAGUACUCUCAAGAAAAAAAAUAAUUUGAUGUGGUCUCUUGUCAUUACCCAUGAUGAAGUUCCUGGCCUGGUGAGGUUCACCAAACCACGUCAAACGUGGUAACCUCCUCCACAUCCAAAUUGUGUGAUAACUUACCUUUAACUUGGGCACUCUUUUCUGAGGCCAGAGUAAAAGUUUCACAAGGCAUAUCUAGUGUGAAUCAUUGCAACUUUUUUCUAGAAGGUGUCUUUUAAGGCUGCUGUUCUUAAAAGGAGAUUGUGAGAAAAGCAGGAACUUGGAAUUUUGUACCCUUUCCCAGCAUAAGUAUGAAGAAACAAACUGGAUGUCAGGAAGUCAGUGCAAAGAAGUCGGUGAACCUCAGAGAGUACACAAGGAGCAACAUCUACUGCCAUCUUCUCUAUUCACCAGCAUCCCGAGCAUCUCCAAUGGGUUGACUUUUUUUUUUUUUUUUUUUUUUUUGAGUAUCUGCUUUGUGCGAAUCAUGGUGAGAAUAUUAAGAAUAAUUUUAGAAACUGGAAAAAUUCUUAACCCAGAGAGAUCAUUACUUUGCUGCGUUUACAAAUACAGUAAAUUCAACACAAGCAUGGCUUAAGGAAUGUCAACCACUCUGGAAAUGUAGAAGAAUUUCUUAUAAUCCAGAAUAUGUAAUUAAUCAGAGCUUCUAUUCCCCAAGCAUUCUGAGUAAUCAGUAUUUUCCUUUGUGAGUUUCAGGUGAAGAAACAUUUGCACAUUGACCUAACUGGGUUGUUCAAUACACUUUCUUCUGAGUCUUUCUUUAGCAUGAUGUGAGGUAUACUCAGGAAAUGUGCAUUUAAAUAGUCACAGUAAUGAUUGUAGUGAAGCCAAGUGGGGACUUCAUGCUCUAAUUUCCAUGAAUUGAGGGGUAAUAUUUUUAUGUUAUUUUUUUCUGUAAUAAAACCUAA